UACGGAGUGUGCAAGCGUUACUCGGAAUCACUGGGCAUAAAGGGCGUGUAGGCGGGUUUUCAAGUCGGUUGUGAAAUCCCUCAGCUCAACUGAGGAACUGCAUCCGAUACUGUUUGUCUUGAGGACGAGAGGGGAGAGUGGAACUUCUGGUGGAGCGGUGAAAUGCGUAGAUAUCAGAAGGAACGCCGGUGGCGAAAGCGACUCUCUGGCUCGUAUCUGACGCUGAAACGCGAAAGCUUGGGUAGCAAACGGG
rnacentral:rRNA from 1 species